CCAGGUCUUAUUUUGGGGGGAUGUCAUCCACUGACUAACCUCACUUAUGUGUGUCGCCCCCAGCCUCCUUUUCACUGGAACCUCUUCUGCAGCUGGCAAGGCUUUCCUGAAGGCCUCUGCAGCCGAUAAGAGAGCGCCGGAUCAAUCCAGAGCUUUGUUAUCAUCUACAGAGGCCUUCAGGAAAGCCUUGCUGGCCUUGCCGGCUGCGGAAGAAAUGGGCCGGCAAGGCAGGUGUCGGGGUGAGCAAGGCCUGGCUACCACUGUCCAAAGGCAAAAGCUGCGUCAUCUCACGCAAAAGGGAAGAAUCGGAUGAAGAGGAAACCCGGAAACCGGAAGAGCAUCUCUCUCGGGUCAGGCAGGCCAGAGUCCUAUGUGUCUCUGAAGAGGGAGGUGGAAGGGGCCGAUGGGCGAGGUGAUUGGCAGGAACAGGCAAGAGGAGGCUCCCCG
rnacentral:lncRNA from 1 species